UACGUAGGGUGCGAGCGUUGUCCGGAAUUAUUGGGCGUAAAGAGCUCGUAGGCGGUUUGUCGCGUCUGCUGUGAAAACCUAAGGCUCAACCUUGGGCUUGCAGUGGGUACGGGCGAGACUAGAGUGGCGGGUAGGGGUGGAAUCCUGGGAAUUCCUGGGUUGGAUAGCGGGUGGAAUGCGGACAGACUAUCAGGAGGAACACCGAGCGGCGAAAGGCGGUCACUGGGCCGGAACUGACGCUG
rnacentral:rRNA from 1 species